rnacentral:rRNA from 1 species
GGACGAACGCUAGCGGCGUGCCUAAGGUAUGCAAGUCGAACGGGGAGCUUCGGCUCCCAGUGGCGAACGGUCGAGUAACACGUAGACAAUCUGCCUCCUGGUGGGGGAUAACCGCGGGAAACUGCGGCUAAUACCGCAUGAGGCGACUCCGGGCAUCCGGGGUCUGCUAAAGGAGCAAUUCGCCGGGAGAUGAGUCUGCGGCCUAUCAGCUAGUUGGUGGGGUAACGCCUACCAAGGCGACGACGGGUAGCUGGUCUGAGAGGAUGAUCAGCCGGACGGGGACUGAGACACGGCCCCG